rnacentral:misc_RNA from 1 species
AACCAUUCUCACCUGCGGCUAGACCUGCGGAAGGAUCAUUACAGAGUGUAAAAACUCCCAAAACCCAUGUGAACAUACCUUUUUGUUGCUUCGGCGGGAUCGCCCCGGGCGCCUUGUGUGCCCCGGAGUCAGGCGCCCGCCGGGGGACCCAAACUCUUGUUUUUAACGAGUAUCUUCUGAGUAACGUUUUUAAAUAAAUAAAAACUUUCAACAACGGAUCU